UACGUAGGGGGCUAGCGUUGUCCGGAAUCAUUGGGCGUAAAGAGCGUGUAGGCGGCCCGGUAAGUCCGCUGUGAAAGUCGGGGGCUCAACCCUCGAAUGCCGGUGGAUACUGUCGGGCUAGAGUGCGGAAGAGGCGAGUGGAAUUCCUGGUGUAGCGGUGAAAUGCGCAGAUAUCAGGAGGAACACCGAUGGCGAAGGCAGCUCGCUGGGACGGUACUGACGCUGAGGCGCGAAAGCGUGGGGAGCGAACAGG
rnacentral:rRNA from 1 species